CCUAUCGAGAUAUUCCUGAUUUCAGUGCAGCUGCAGUUCAGAAUAGCGUGCCAUCCUUUUUCAGUCAGUCGCAGCGCUCUCAGAUGACCAUGAAGGAGAGUCUUUCAUAUCACUUUGCAAUGUGAUUAGUGGGAGAGUGUGAAAUAUCACACACUUAUCCACAUCCUCCAGCCGACAUGGAAAUUUCAAGGUGUCUGUUUUUUUGGUUCUGCUUUAGAGGGCUGACGAUAUCAUUAAUAUCAAAAAGCCGAAACCCCUGUUCUUUUCUUCUCGGUCCUUCAUUCAGAUGAUGCUGGGUACUUUUUGUGAGUCCCCGAGGAGGUAAAUGGACACUGAAAAGAAAAGGAGAGCCAAUUAAUGCAGACCAGAGCUGUUAGUCCACAUCCUGAGAAGUCCCUUCAGACGCUCCAUUUGUACAGCACAGCAGCUGUAAAAUCUCUGGGUAAAGCAAUUGAACGUGGAUGGUGAGGGAUGCCUAGGAAGAAGAGGAGUGCUUGCCAGGUCAUGGAUGGAUCCAUCAAAUGGUCAGUGACCGGACUGGGUGGUCCGGGGUGGGACGUCUGAGACCAAGACUAAGAAGAUGCAGAACCGGUCAUGUAUAUUGGUGUAAGAGACUUGUAGACUUAAAGGAAAAGUGAAGAACAGCCAAGGUAUUCAAUCAUUCAUUUGACCAGAGCCACAUGAUCUGUGCCUUUCAUUACAGCACUGAUGAGGAAUAAAGGAAAUAAAAACAGUUUUAUAGACACCCACGCCAAUCCAAAUAAGCUUUCAUCUCAUGCUCACUAACAACUCUCUCUGUGUGCUUUCUGAUCUGGAUUAUAUUCUCUCUCUCGGUCUCUCUUCAACAGUUAUUGCCAUUGUAGUUUUCCAUUUUCCGAGUGUUUCUUUUCACAUUCACAUUUUUAACGUGUUCCAAGUGACAAGCCAAGGAAGUAGCCAAGAGCGUUACGGUUGAGUUAUUGGCCCUAAAAACAAAUACACGUCAGCUGAUUCACAGCAAUAGCGCAAGCUGCCCAAAGAACACCCAUCCACUUUAUGGGCGUUCUUCAGUCCAGGGAAUGGCUUUAUGUGUACUGUAGUGAAAAGCACAGAUUUUCUUUGAACCUCCAGUGGGUUAGACGCCACAGAUAUCGGUGCUGCAUCUGUCAGGUCUAGCUGAAUUUGUUAAACUCACCGAUAUUGCAAUUUUGUGUUUUUGUUUUUCUGAGCAAAAAUAAAUAUCAUACAUUUUUUUCCCUAAUUUACUAAAUUUA